rnacentral:misc_RNA from 1 species
GGAAGUAAAAGUCGUAACAGGGUUUCCGUAGGUGAACCUGCGGAAGGAUCAUUACAGAGUUCAUGCCCUCACGGGUAGAUCUCCCACCCUUGAAUAUUUAUACCUUAGUUGCUUUGGCAGGCCGUGGAAACACCAUGGGCUCCGGCCUAUGCGUGCCUGCCAGAGGAAACAAACUCUGUUUUUAGUGAUGUCUGAGUACUAUAUAAUAGUUAAAACUUUCAACAACGGAUCUCUUGGUUCUG